GCACCCCGUGAGGGCACGGAGCCGCUUAAAGGGCCCCCGCGGCCUGCCCCGCUGUCGGAAACGACAGAACGCCUUCCUAAUUGCAGGAGGAGGACUAAAGCCAGCUCCUUUCAGCAGAAGGGAAACACAGGCACUCGUUCCUACAGUGGGGCACCAGACAGAGGGAGCAAGAUCUCUGGGCAUGAGGAUUUGGCAAGUUAACAAACAUUCACUACAAGAGAGAGAAACGGCACAGAGGGUAUCACCUGGCAAGGGACAGGAUUCGGGAAACAAAAAAGCAACAUUGUGAGAAAAAAAAAAGGCAGACAAAACAAGUUGAAGAGAAACAUUACACUGUCAUGGAGCAUGGAACUGUUCUUACAGCGUUAAUAAGCAAGGGCUCCAGUUCCAGCAUAAAUUUUACUGACAGAAUCACCAUUCACAGACCACAUGGAUCGGAAAACUUCCUGAAAGCGAG